UCAAUCUCCAGAAGCGCCCAGAAGUGUCCUUUCACGGCGGCACUACGUGUGGUGGCGGUUGGAAGCCAAACCCGAUCAAAAAAAAUCGAAACCGAGCUAUCAACCCGGAUAUCUCGAGUUACAGACCACCUUUUCCUGUGACUCUUGGCCUGGUGAGUUCGCCUUGAGAUUGUUAACAACUCUCUAGAAGGGAUCGAGGCCUGAAGUUGAAGUUUUUACGUCGAAAUUCAAGCUCGCCGGAUUCUGGAAAUUUUCCGGCCACCGAGACUUUUGAUCGAGUUAUCUCGAGCUAUAGAGCUUUGUUUUGAGUAAUUCUUGAACCAGUGAGUUCUUCUUUAAGUUAUGAACAAGUCUCCUGAAGGAAUCGAAGCCAAAGGAGGACAUUUUUACGAUGAUCGGAGCUUCGCCGGUUUCUGCAAAUUAUCGCCGGAUUCUGGAAAUUUUCCGGCCACCGUGACUAUUUUGGUGAUUGACGGUCUUCCUUGGGUGAGCGGUUUCGGUGUGUAUUGUGUUGAAUUGAAAACGCAGCGGGAAUAUCGAGCGGGUAAUCCUACAGGUCAGGAAAAUCAGAAAGGUGAUCGAGCUGCGUAGAGUAGCUGCAUUUGUGUGAAUCUGACUUUCUUUUGUGAGGUGUGUUAUGCUCAUUGAGCUACAUUUAUAAUUUGGUGAGAGUGUGCUGUAAUAAACAAAUUUGAGAUUUGGUUUAUGUAAUAUCGAGCGAUGUGAGGUGUGGUUGUUUUGAGAAAAAAAUUCAGGUUGUAUUUAUGUGAGUUGUAUUAAUUCAUGUUUCGGAUUUGAAUUUGUUAUUCAAA